UGUGUUCAGAGUGAAAAUGACCUACACCUGACAAUGCUGUCUCUUCUCACGUCUCACUGCCACCAGGCAACCUCCAUGAGUCCAUGCCUAUUUCACCGAGAAUGUGCUUCAUCUCAGACAACCUACCAGGAUACCUAUUUCAGGUACCUUCUUCUGGACUCCCCUCCCCCACCCCACCGCGGGCACCAAGAGGACCCGACGGCGGUUUCAGAAAGCUGAAUGGCGAUCCCGUCCGGGGUCCAGGCCCCGGCACCGUCCACCACGCCGCGCUGCUGGGCGACAGGGGCUUCUAAUGUGAGGAAAAACACAGAAUGACAAGUGUGGGAAAGAGCAAGCACUAAAUUACUGUCAGAAAAAUAAACGGAGUAGCACAGUGGUGCUCGGUGAUUUACGGGGGCAAUUAGUCACCACCCCACGGCGCUGCUGAGGACAGCUCGGCAGCAGACGCAUCAGGCCCACGAGGAAGAAGAGGCUUCGCGUCGCUCUCCAGACAACUUUUCAAACAACAAGAGAAGAUAUCUGAACACAUCAGGUUCCGUGUCUUCAUUCUGGGUGCCUACCCUUCACAUGAUUCCACCAACUUAAUGCAUAAAUGUCUUUUUAGCACAAUAUUAACCUGUUCUCUGUGCGUUAAAAAGCCUCCAACUGUAGCUUUUUCUCUCCCACUGUCCAAAGUGGGUUUCCCUCCACCCUUUAAAAAACAGAACACAAAACCUUUCUUCACGCCCAAAUUGUCCCCCUGUUGCGUGCCUUCAGUCUGUCUCAUUACCUCUUGCAUCUCGCUACCAUGUUCUACAUUUGCGCAGAGCCACUGGAUGCUAAGGAAUUUGGUCCACAGCUCCUCCGGGAAACUUUGGUGAACUGGUGUAAUGAAGUGAGGCCAAGAAACACAGGGCAAAUGAAAAAAAAUACAUACCAACUGCUCGAUAUUCGUUAACAUGUUCUUUGAACAUACUAUGUGUAGUGUCAAUGUUUAUGUGACAUGGCAAAAUAAACCUGCUCAGGAAUACCUAA